rnacentral:rRNA from 1 species
UAGGGAAUCUUCGGCAAUGGGGGCAACCCUGACCGAGCAACGCCGCGUGAGUGAAGAAGGUUUUCGGAUCGUAAAGCUCUGUUGUAAGAGAAGAACGAGUGUGAGAGUGGAAAGUCCACACUGUGACGGUAACUUACCAGAAAGGGACGGCUAACUACGUGCCAGCAGCCGCGGUAAUACGUAGGUCCCGAGCGUUAUCCGGAUUUAUUGGGCGUAAAGCGAGCGCAGGCGGUUAGAUAAGUCUGAAGUUAAAGGCUGUGGCUUAACCAUAGUACGCUUUGGAAACUGUUUAACUUGAGUGCAGAAGGGGAGAGUGGAAUUCCAUGUGUAGCGGUGAAAUGCGUAGAUAUAUGGAGGAACACCGGUGGCGAAAGCGGCUCUCUGGUCUGUAACUGACGCUGAGGCUCGAAAGCGUGGGGAGCAAACAGGAUUAGAUACCCUGGUAGUCCACGCCGUAAACGAUGAGUGCUAGGUGUUGGGUCCUUUCCGGGACUCAGUGCCGCAGCUAACGCAUUAAGCACUCCGCCUGGGGAGUACGACCGCAAGGUUG